rnacentral:lncRNA from 1 species
ACAUCAAAUCCUUUUUUUGGAAUUAUGAAGCAAAAAUAGGAAAGGUUGCAGGCGAAGAACAACCUGAACCUGAUAUUGAUCCACCUCUAGUACAUUCGAAUACAACGAUUGUCAUUGAUAUUGAUCCACCUUCAGUCCAUUCUGAUCUAGAGAUUGACAUUGUUAUUGAUCCACGUCCAAUACAUUUCGGUCGAGAGAUUGUCAUUGACAUUGACGAUGAAACCCCCAAAAAUGAAAAGCAAAAAUAAACCAUAAACCGUAAACCCUAAAACCAUAAAACCCUACCCCCCCCACCCACCCCCCUGAAAACACAAAAUCUUUAAUUCCGAUUGAUGACACCAACCGGGACUAAAGGUCCUCCAUCCCCUGCCGCACGCUCGUGGUCACGUGGAGGGACUUUAGUCCCGGGUUGUGAUGAAAGUCCCGGUUGGCGACCCAUGAUUAAAUCCCUUUCCCAACCGAGAUUAAAUUUCCGUUCUCCACUAGUGAGGGUCUGUCCGUGAAACGAGGGAAGUUGAGCAACCGCCCCGCUUGCGCAUGGUAGAGUCCCUGGUAUACAAUGAAAUACCAGGCUUGGCUCGGAGUGCUCGUCUUGACGCGCACUUAUCCUACCAAGACUUAGUGCCUGUUCAGAAGUCCACCAGCUCUCAAAAACAUGAGAAUCUGCAGAGCGUCAAUUUCUCUGCUCCGUUAUCUGCAACUGCAGCUCCGUCCGCUCCGGAAGCAGAGUGGAGAGCCUCCAAACAGGCCCCUAAAAAACACAUUCUUUAUACAGCAUUAUGUGUGGAUUAACAUGAACCAUAAUAUUACGAUAUAUGUUUCGUGCAGCACAUGAUGGAUCCAUAAUUCAUAACAACAAUGAUAAAUACGGGGGACAGAGUCAUCUGAAAACCAUCUCACAAAGCGGUAGUACAUUUCUAUAAUAAGACGCCAUUAGGGAUCUGAAGCAAGGAUAGGUAAUGUGUCUACCAACCUUCUGCUGAGCCCUUGCUCACCUUUAUGAUGCACACUACCUGUGUAAUAGUAUUGCUGGCAGACAUAUCUUUCUUCUUUAGCCCUUUACAUAUACCUAGCUCUGCUAACUAGGAGAGGACACACGAGUGGAUGUUGGUUUGCAGGAAAAGAUUUGUAGAACAUCAAAUACACAAACAAGUGGCAUCAAUUUGGAGUUGGAUGUGUGUUGUGUGUUGGGAAUGAGGGGCAUGCGGAACACGUCCUAUGUUCUAGCUUGCAUGAGACUUGCUCCACUUCCAAUAGUAUGUAACGUAAGCAACAAUGAAGCGCGUGACAGGGUUGCCUGUAGAGGAGGCCGACACUGACUAGCUGGUGGAGGGAGCUUUGCAGAAGAAUCUCAACAUGUACAGGCUCAAGAGAUUGAAGAAAGAUCUGACGAAUAAGUGUCCGGAGCGCCAUUUGCCACAGAGUGAAAAAGUGGCUCAACACAUGACAGCAAAACACCUCCACGGCAGCUUGACAUAUUACACGACACACCUCCACGGCUAUUGCAAGAUGCUACGAAAGGAUGACAUUCAGAGCACACCUGCAUGUAUUGCAAUAUAUGGCUUGACAGUAGGUACAGAGGGAUUACAUGCUACGUGAUAUCCGUGGCGUCCUUUAGGGCAACACAACGUUAAUGUGAUUGUGUUAGAUACGACGGGUGAGUAAAAUUUCUUAUACGAAAUUUACAUCUACUGGACAACGCGACUUAUCAAUUCACAUUAAUAUGAAUAUGAAUUUACAGAAACAUCAUUGUCUAGAAAAAAUGAAACAAAAUCAAUAAUGAGAAAAUAGAUCACAACAGACAGUCAUGUCCAUAAGUCCAUUGCGGUUGAGCCUACCAGACAACUCAAGCUGCAAAGUUCGGUUGAAAAUCAAAAUCAAUAGUUCGGUUGAACACCAGACGACCAAUACGGCAGGGGACGGUGGCCACACAUACAAG